UUCCUUAGUUGACUUGGCAUAGCGAGGACCGUAACAGACAGGAGAGAGGGACCUGUGAGGGAAUGACGACACGGUAAUAUAACUUAUAUUUAUCAGAGACUUUUUUUAUUUAUUUUUGUUCAUUUUUGAUUGUAUGUGCCCUGUAACCUAAUGUUGUUUUUUGUUUGCACUUUCUUCUCGGUUUGCUGCAAAAUGUUUACACAGUUUGUGAUUCAAAAUGUCACACAUGCAUUUAAAAUAAAAAUGUUUGGCCAUCAAUGUCUUUCAUUAUCAGUUUUGUAGUAGUUUUAAACAUAUAUUUAAGUUUUGACUGUUAACACCAUGAAAGAGUUCACAUUAAAAUUAACUCCUGGGGUCCGUUUCACAAAGCAGGUUCAACAAACUCUUAAUCUCUUAGUUACAAAACUCUGAGUUUCUGGUUUCAGAACAGCAGAUUUAAGUUGGUUUAAUCAACUCGGAGAAGUUUGACCUGGAGUUAAGCGCGUGCGCCACAACUCUAAAAAGCCAGCAUCAAUGGAGCCCCGAUCCAACGAGUCACAAUGGCAGCGGGGAAGAGAAGGCUACGGAGUGGAAAUCCUACUGCGCUCAUACGGCGAGUUUCAACACGUUUUUAGAAAGAAGAACUUUUGUCCCAACGGAUUCUGAGGGAUCCCAUCAUACAUUGUCCAUCAUUUGUUCAGGAGGUUCCUCUAAAUAAAUACUGUAUAUCAGGGCUGGCCAACCCGCGGCUCCCAAGUCGCAUGCAGCUCUUUGCCCGGUUCCAUGCGGCUCUUACGUUCAUAUCGAAGUUUCGCUUCGCAUGUGCGUUGGAUGAAAAUACCUCAAAGUUUCCCAGUAGGAGCAAGAUCUUUGAGUGAACAAUUUGUGUCAAGUUCGCUCUCAAAACGGCAGGGAAAAAAAUGCACAGCAAAACGAAGACAUGAAGAUGAACACAGGAUGUUUUUAGGCAUCAUUAGCGCAUUUCAAAGCUUCAAAUCUUCAGCGCCACUUCAGCUCACUAAGUAACAAACCAUCGGCAUCGUUUAGACAUGGAAGACUCAAAAUGUAACAGCAGAUGCCGCCGUGGACGUCCAGCUCUACCUUUCAGAGCCAAAUAUAAGCAGACUGGAAACCCCUCUGGAAUACUGGGAGGGCCAAAGAUUACUAUACCCUUAUUCAUAUAAUCUUGCUCUAGCACUUUUAUGCACAUCAGCAUCUUCUGUACCAAAGAGUGUUUUCAAAGGCCCGAGAGAAACUGUUAUUUCUGAACAAAAAUGAAUAACAUGCUGUUCUGUACAUCUUUGUCCAAGUUACACAAGCAUAUUCACUGUCCUCUGCCUCCCUAAGUCCAUGCCAUUUCCUAAAGUUACAGAAAAACUUUAUCGCACAACCUGCCAUAUCAAGUGAUUAUACAAAUUUGGGAAACUUUAUUUAUUUAAACUCACACAGAAUACAUUCGAUCUUAUUUUAUUACACACAUAUGUGAUCAUUUAUGCAGAGAGAUUAUUUGGUCAUGCAUGUUUUGUAAUCCAUAGUCAUUCCAAAGAGUCUCAAGAGACACAAAACAAACAUGUGGUUAAGAUACAGCUGACUGUGAUUGUACACCUGGCCAAUAGGGGGUUUCCUGCGUGCACUGGGGGAUGAUUGCCGUA